UACGUAGGGUGCGAGCGUUGUCCGGAAUUAUUGGGCGUAAAGGGCUCGUAGGCGGUUUGUCGCGUCGGGAGUGAAAUCCACUGGCUUAACUGGUGGCUUGCUUUCGAUACGGGCAGACUGGAGGUAUGCAGGGGAGAACGGAAUUCCUGGUGUAGCGGUGAAAUGCGCAGAUAUCAGGAGGAACACCGGUGGCGAAGGCGGUUCUCUGGGCAUGUCCUGACGCUGGGGAGCGAAAGUGUGGGGAGCAAACAGG
rnacentral:rRNA from 1 species